AGAUUGAACGCUGGCGGCAUGCCUUACACAUGCAAGUCGAACGGCAGCACGGGAGCAAUCCUGGUGGCGAGUGGCGAACGGGUGAGUAAUAUAUCGGAACGUGCCCAGUCGUGGGGGAUAACGCAGCGAAAGCUGUGCUAAUACCGCAUACGAUCUAUGGAUGAAAGCGGGGGAUCGCAAGACCUCGCGCGAUUGGAGCGGCCGAUAUCAGAUUAGCUAGUUGGUGGGGUAAAAGCCUACCAAGGCGACGAUCUGUAGCUGGUCUGAGAGGACGACCAGCCACACUGGAACUGAGACACGGUCCAGACUCCUACGGGAGCAGCAGUGGGGAAUUUGGACUAAGUGGGCGCAAGCCUGAUCCAGCAAUGCCGCGUGCAGGAUG
rnacentral:rRNA from 1 species